UACGUAGGGUGCAAGCGUUGUCCGGAAUUAUUGGGCGUAAAGAGCUCGUAGGCGGUCUGUCGCGUCGGCUGUGAAAACCUGGGGCUCAACUCCGGGCCUGCAGCCGAUACGGGCAGACUAGAAUUCGGUAGGGGAGACUGGAAUUCCUGGUGUAGCGGUGAAAUGCGCAGAUAUCAGGAGGAACACCGGUGGCGAAGGCGGGUCUCUGGGCCGAUAUUGACGCUGAGGAGCGAAAGCAUGGGGAGCGAACAGG
rnacentral:rRNA from 1 species